AGAGAACACAUCCCUUUCCGGACGAGUAAGCUAACUCAGGUGCUCCGAGACUCCAUAAUAGGAGAGAAAUCCAGAACGUGCAUGUCUCUUUGGCAGAUGGUCUCCAUCAUUCUCCUCCAGCUCAUGUUUUCCUGUCAUCUGUGAAAAGCCCCUCCCCAUUCUCCAUGGUAAUAUUAAAGGAGACAACUACAAUUAUGGGGACAUGACUGUCUACACCUGUGUGCCAGGGUUUGAACUACAGGGUCAUGGUGUUCAGAUCUGUCAGGGAGACAGAACAUGGAGUGGCAGUCAGCCUGAAUGUGUCG